ensembl:lncRNA
UGAGUACACAGGUCCUUAUACAGAGUACACAGGUCCUUACUACCGAGUACACAGGUCCUUAUACAGAGUACACAGGUCCUUAUACAGAGUACACAGGUCCUUACUACCGAGUACACAGGUCCUUACUGCUGAGUACACAGGUCCUUAUACAGAGUACACAGGUCCUUAUACAGAGUACACAGGUCCUUACUACCGAGUACACAGGUCCUUACUACCGAGUACACAGGUCCUUACUGCUGAGUACACAGGUCCUUAUACAGAGUACACAGGUCCUUACUACCGAGUACACAGGUCCUUAUACAGAGUACACAGGUCCUUAUACAGAGUACACAGGUCCUUACUACCGAGUACACAGGUCCUUA